rnacentral:rRNA from 1 species
UAUUAUAUUGACUGGCUAAGGUAGCGAAAUAAUUUGCCUCUUUAUUAGAGGCCUGAAUGAAAGAUCUGACGUAAGACCAACUGUUUCAUUUAAUAAAUAAUAAAUUAAUUCUGAAGUAAAAAAGCUUCAAUAAAUUUAAAAGACGAUAAGACCCUACAAAGCUUAACUUAAGUUAUAAAUCAUAAUACAGAACCUGAUAUAGUCUUAAGUUUUACUGGGGCGGUACUAAACUAAACAUUUUAAAAUACAACGUUUUAAACGAAAUACAACGAACAAUAUCUAAUUAAUUAAGAACAAGUUACUUUAGGGAUAACAGCACAAUUUUUUCACAGAGUUCCUAUCGAAGAAAAAGCUUGUGACCUCGAUGUUGAAUUAAGCAACUAAUUUCGCGCAACACCGAGAUAAUAGAA